rnacentral:rRNA from 1 species
UCUAUCUUUUAAAAUUUAAAAUAUUUUAGUACGAAAGGAUCAAAUAUUUUAAUUAAAUUAUAAUAAAAAAAUUAUUUGAAUUUUAUUAAGUGAUUAAAUAAAAAUAUUUAUAAAAGUGUAAUAUUAAUUUAGAUUAAUUAUUAAAUUAAAUAUUAUAAUAGAUAAAA